CAAGCGUUUAGAGAUCCUGAGACCUCAUCCUCUGAGACGAUCAUCACCAUGUUUGCUGUGAAAGCAGUUUGCCUCCUCGCCACCAUCGCUAUACUUGUUGCAUUUGUGGCUGCGGGAGCUCCGAAUAAGAGAAUCUGCACAAUAUCAGUGUUUGGGCCAAUCUGUAAUGGCCAAUAAAGAUGAAGAGAUGUCAAGCAUCCGCUGAAGAAUUUAAUCACUAAAAACACUAUGUAGUCAAUUAAUAAAGUAGUCAUGCAUACCUA